rnacentral:rRNA from 1 species
UACGUAGGCAGCAAGCGUUGUUCGAAGUUACUGGGCGUAAAGGGUGCGUAGGCGGCUUUUUAAGUUUGGUGUGAAAUCUCCCGGCUCAACUGGGAGGGUGCGCCGAAUACUGAGAGGCUAGAGUGCGGGAGAGGAAAGUGGAAUUCCUGGUGUAGCGGUGAAAUGCGCAGAUAUCAGGAGGAACACCGGUGGCGAAGGCGGGUCUCUGGGCCGAAACUGACGCUGAGGAGCGAAAGCGUGGGGAGCGAACAGG